GUACUUUAAUUUAACAUAUUUUUUAGAAGUGCUGUAGUAUAACUAGCAGGACACAAGUUAUAAUUGCGGUAAGUUUGGAGACACUACCUUAUUUCAUCAUUAAAUAAAUUUGUAUUUUUCUUGUAUCU